rnacentral:rRNA from 1 species
GACGAACGCUGGCGGCGUGCUUAACACAUGCAAGUCGAACGGAAAGGCCCUGCUUUUGUGGGGUGCUCGAGUGGCGAACGGGUGAGUAACACGUGAGUAACCUGCCCUUGACUUUGGGAUAACUUCAGGAAACUGGGGCUAAUACCGGAUAGGAGCUCCUGCUGCAUGGUGGGGGUUGGAAAGUUUCGGCGGUUGGGGAUGGACUCGCGGCUUAUCAGCUUGUUGGUGGGGUAGUGGCUUACCAAGGCUUUGACGGGUAGCCGGCCUGAGAGGGUGACCGGCCACAUUGGGCCUGAGAUACGGCCCAGACUCCUACGGGAGGCAGCAGUGGGGAAUCUUGCACAAUGGGCGGAAGCCUGAUGCAGCAACGCCGCGUGCGGGAUGACGGCCUUCGGGUUGUAAACCGCUUUCGCCUGUGACGAAGCGUGAGUGACGGUAAUGGGUAAAGAAGCACCGGCUAACUACGUG